UAUAUGUGUAGGUAUAUACAUAUAUAUUCCUAAAUAUAUAAAUGCAGUCCACUGUUUGCAUAAUGUUACUUGUAUGUAUGUUUUCAGGGAUGAUCAUUAGAUAAUGAAUUGGUGUGCUCUUCCCUGGGGAAGUCUAUUUCUCCUGCUCUCAUCAUUCCUUAGUGGCCUGUAGUUAUAUGUGUAGGACUGAAGUCUCUUGGGCUUUCCCCUUCCACAUUAGCAUGUCUAUUGCUGUUGUCCUUGUUCAUCUCAUUUUUGAGAUAGUCAUGGAGGAGAGAUUUUAUGAGGGUAGCUUAGGAAAUUCCUAUGAGCCACAACCAGCAAACUCCUUGAUCUUCCAGAUAUUACAAUCUUUCUACCCCCUCUUCCAAAAUUAUUCCUCAGUCUUAGGUAUUGGAUUGUGUUGUAGAUGUAUUAACUAGGACUAGGCUUCGUAGCACUACAUUUUGAUUGGUUGUGGUUUUCUGUAAUGGACUCUAUCUGCUGCAAAGAGAAGUUUUCUUGAUGGGGGGGGGAGGCUGCACUUAUCUGUGGAUAUAAGGACAGAUAUUUAGAAUGAGGGAUUAUACUGGUUUAGUAAAGUGGUGGUUGUAGUUUGACUUAAAGUUCUAUUGCUGUGAAGAGAAACCAUGACCACGGCAACUCUUAUAAAGAGCCUACUCACAGUAGAACACUUCCUCCAACAAUCCAUGCCUACUGACGAACCUGCUUGACUCCAUUUUGAAGCACCAUGCCUGCUUACCUGUUGCCAUGCUUCCCACCAUGACGUUCCUGGACUCAUCCUCUGAAACUGUUCUUAGUCUGGGCAUGGAUACCCACAUAUCUACAUCACAAGAAUCUGGAAACUGCUUAUGUCCUUAAGAAUGCACCGGUUUUCAGCUCCCCUUCCUCACACAACUACCCCUCUCCCCGUAUUUGUGGGAGGGGAAGCCUUCUUUGUUCAUCAAUGACAUUGUAUGUGUUGUGUGCAGCUGCCCCUCUGCAUUCUUCACUCCUGUGAGACCCACUGAGAACAAGGAGACAAGUGCUCUUCAGACAUCAAAAGGAAACCAAAAGUGAGCGAGGAUGAAAUUGAGGCCAAAAGGUUAAGAGAGGAAAGAUGUCCUCGUUCUUUUUCUGGGCUAGUACAUGGUGGUUUCUGUUGGAGUGAGCAAUUACAGAUCUCUGAUGGGCCAGGUCUCUGUACUUCUGCCCCAGGCCUUGAUAAUUUGGUCCUCAGAGCAGCUGUCCUCGAAUUUUUUCUAUUUCUUCUUUAUACUCUAGGUCAAAAAGUCUUAGGUAAAGACUUCUAUUUUCUGUAAUAAAUACCCAAUUUCAAACAGCUGCUGUGAGAGUGCUGAGCCAAAAGAAAAUGUUUCUUAGACUUGCCCCUAUUCCUUUAGAAUCAGUCAAUAAAAGGUGAAUCUAGUCUAAAAAUCGUAGAUCAAAUGGACAGACCCCAUGGCACAUAUGCUUGUCCGUACA